UGACAAACUAAAUGAUCAUGAAUUAGCCAA
rnacentral:piRNA from 1 species